UGAAUACGAGACGCUAAGGCGUCGAAGUAGUGUAUGUCAUACUUCCAAGAAAAGCUUGCACUGUCAUAGAUAAAAAACGCCUGUACCAUAACCGACACAGGUGGGUAGGUAGAGUAUACUAAGGGGCGCGAGAUAACUCUCUCUAAGGAACUCGGCAAAAUAACUCCGUAACCUCGGGAGAAGGUGUGCCUUAUUAUUAAGGCUGCAAUAACAAGAUCCAAGCAACUGUUUAUCAAAAACACAGGUCUCCGCUAAGUCGUAAGACGAUGUAUGGGGGCUGACGCCUGCCCAGUGCCAGAAGGUUAAAGAAGUUGGUUAGCAUUUGCGAAGCUGAUAACUGAAGCCCUGGUGAACGGCGGCCGUAACAAUAACGGUCCUAAGGUAGCGAAAUUCCUUGUCGGGUAAGUUCCGACCCGCACGAAAGGCGUAAUGAUUUGGAUACUGUCUCGGAGAGGGGCUCGGUGAAAUAGACUUGUCUGUGAAGAUGCGGACUACCUGCACCAGGACAGAAAGACCCUAUGAAGCUUUACUGUAACUUGAAAUUGAAAUUGGACUUUAUUCGCGCAGCAUAGGUGGGAGGCGUUGAUUAUAAUCUUGUGGGAUUAUUGGAGCCAUCAGUGAGAUACCACUCUUGUAAUGUUAGAUUUCUAACUUUGAAUCAUUAUCUGGUCGAAGAACAGUUUCAGGCGGGCAGUUUGACUGGGGCGGUCGCCUCCUAAACGGUAACGGAGGCGUACAAAGGUUUCCUCUGAACGGUUAGAAAUCGUAUCUAGAGUGUAAAGGCAUAAGGAAGCUUGGCUGUGAGACCUACAAGUCAAGCAGGGACGAAAGUCGGUCUUAGUGAUCUGACGGUACUGAGUGGAAAGGCCGUCACUCAACGGAUAAAAGUUACUCUAGGAUAACAGGCUGAUCUCCCCCAAGAGUUCACAUCGACGGGGAGGUUCGGCACCUCGAUGUCGGCUCAUCGCAUCCUGGGGCGGUAGUACGUCCCAAGGGUUGGGCUGUUCGCCCAUGAAAGCGGUACGCGAGCUGGGUUCAGAACGUCGUGAGACAGUUCGGUCCAUAUCCGGUGUAGGCGUUAGAAUAUUGAGAGGAGCCUUCUUUAGUACGAGAGGACCGAGAAGGACAUACCUCUGGUGUACCAGUUAUCGUGCCAACGGUAAACGCUGGGUAGCUAUGUAUGGAGUGGAUAACCGCUGAAAGCAUCUAAGUGGGAAGCCCACCUCAAGAUAAGUAUUCCC
rnacentral:rRNA from 1 species